rnacentral:rRNA from 1 species
CAGUUCGGUCCCUAUCUGUGGUGGGCGUUAGAAGAUUGACGGGGGCUGCCCUUAGUACGAGAGGACCGGGGUGGACUCACCGCUGGUGAACCGGUUAUUGUGCCCACGGUACGGCCGGGUAGCUACGUGGGGUUUGGAUAAGCGCUGAAAGCAUCUAAGUGCGAAGCCGGCCCGGAGAUGAGUCUUCUGUUGAAGGACGUUAGAGACGAUGACGUGGAUAGGCGGCAGGUGCAGGACGGGAGACCGUUACAGCCGAGCCGUACUAAUGACCUGACAAUGUAACC